GCCAGACUCCUACGGGAGGCAGCAGUGGGGAAUAUUGCACAAUGGGGGAAACCCUGAUGCAGCGACGCCGCGUGAAGGAUGAAGUAUUUCGGUAUGUAAACUUCUAUCAGCAGGGAAGAAAAUGACGGUACCUGACUAAGAAGCCCCGGCUAACUACGUGCCAGCAGCCGCGGUAAUACGUAGGGGGCAAGCGUUAUCCGGAUUUACUGGGUGUAAAGGGGGCGCAGACGGCGAUGCAAGCCAGGAGUGAAAGCCCGGGGCCCAACCCCGGGACUGCUCUUGGAACUGCGCGGCUGGAGUGCAGGAGGGGCAGGCGGAAUUCCUGGUGUAGCGGUGAAAUGCGUAGAUAUAAGGAAGAACACCAGUGGCGAAGGCGGAUGACUGGACGGCAACUGACGGUGAGGCGCGAAAGCGUGGGGAGCAAACAGGAUUAGAUACCCGUGUA
rnacentral:rRNA from 1 species